rnacentral:rRNA from 1 species
CCUACGGGAGGCAGCAGUGAGGAAUCUUGGUCAAUGGGCGCGAGCCUGAACCAGCCAAGUAGCGUGAAGGAUGACUGCCUUACGGGCUGUAAACUUCUUUUAUAAAGGAAUACAGUGAUGCACGUGUGCCUUUUUGUAUGUACUUUAUCAAUUAGGAUCGGCUAACUCCGUGCCAGCAGCCGCGGUAAUACGGAGGAUCCGAGCGUUAUCCGGAUUUAUUGGGUUUAAAGGGAGCGUAGAUGGGUUGUUAAGUCAGUUGUGAAAGUUCGCGGCUCAAACGUAAAAUUGCAAUUGAUACUGGCAGUCUUGAGUACAGAUGAGGUAAGCGGAAUUCGUGGUGUAGCGGUGAAAUGCUUAGAGAUCACGAAGAACUCCGAUUGCGAAGGCAGCUUACUAAACUGCCACUGACAUUGAUGCGCGAAAGUGUGGGUAUCAAACAGGAUUAGAUACCCCUGUAGUC